CAACAACAAACCAGAAUUAGCUGCAGCUGGUCAUCAAGGAUCCCAACAUGAACAGACGACUACAAUCAGUCACUUCCACAGUAUUGGAUCCAUUCACUGUCACUCAACCCCUCAGCCAAUCACCGGCAGUCUCUCUCCCACCUGGAAUCCACCCCUGUUCCUUUGUUUGAAGUACAUCCAGAUUCAGUCAUUCACACACAGCGACUUGAACAGCAGGAUCAGCUCACACCAUUCAUCACUGGAAACCCGUUCACUUUUCACAAUCCUGGAAACCUGGAAACCACAGCAUCAAAGAAAACCUUCAACUCCACAACCAUCCUCUUGGACUUCUGGAUUCCACCAACAGAAACCAAACAUUUUGCUGAACAUUGGUGAGCAACUAAUGAAAAAUGUGAUGAGUGACUGAUGAUGAUGAUAAUGAUGAAGCCUGUCUGCUGAACAGGUUAGGCUUCAAUGGAUGAUUUGAAUUGAUGGCGAGCUACCCUCCAAAGAACUGGAACAGUAUGAAAAGAUUCAGCCCUUCACCCACCCCACUCAUUGGCAGGCCUCAAGCCUUACAGCUUCAUCCCUUCCCCAAUGCUGUGAUGUUUUUAGAUGUCACCCCGCCCUCUGCCCGUGACGUGCUC
ensembl:lncRNA